ACAAAAUGUGGAGAAUUUGGAAUCUUCACAGACAUCUGGUGGAAAUGUAAAAUGGUGCAGGAAGUUUAGACAACAAUCUACCCGUUUCCUGAAAUGAUUAAGCUUAGAUCUUUUUAUUUAACUUCCACUUCUAGCUAUGUAGUCAGGAGAAAUGAAAACAUUUAUCUGCAUAUAAAUUUGAACACAAAUGUUGAUGGCAGCAAUAUUUAUAAGAACCAAAAGGUGAGAUCAACCCGAGUGUCUAUCAAUUGAAUGGAUAAGCAAAAUGUGGCGUGUCCAUGCAAUGGAAUAUUGUUUGGCCAUAAAAAGUAAUGAAGUACUGACGCGUGUUGCGGAUGGAUGAACCUUGAAUGCAUUGUGCUAAAUAAAAGAUGCUGCUUUGGUUUGGAUAUGAGUUGUCCCCAAAGGCUCCUGUGUUAAUGCAGGGAUGUUCAGAGGUGAAGUGAUUGAAUCUUGAGAACUAUAACCAAAUCAGGCCAACCCAAUUUGAGUGGAUUGUAUGAUAACUAUAGUCAAGAGGGGUGUGACUAAAGGUAGAGGGUCACUGGGCUUGUGCUUUGGAAAGGUUCAUUUUCCCUGUGACUUGUUCUCCACUCCCUCUAUUUCCCCACUGCUUUGAGAUGAGCCAUGCUCCUCUGCUAUACUGUCGGCCAUGGUGUGCUGCCUUAUCAAAGGCCCAGAGCAAUGGAGUUGACUCUCUAUGGACUGAGACCUCUGAAACCAGAAGCCCCAGAUGAACUUUUCCUCCUUUAAUUGUUCAAGUCAGGUUUUUUGGUCACAGCAACACAAAGCUCGAUUAAAC
rnacentral:lncRNA from 1 species